UCGCAGUAAAUAAGGAUGGUGGCACAAAAUACCGACCGCGGUAUUCUUGCAAAUUGAUAGAAGAAUAUAAUUAUUUUAAAGGAUCUCAUAGAGCUCGUGAAGUAGAUGCGCGAGAAAGAAUACUUUGUGAAUAGAAGUUAUAAUACUACAUUUAAAGUAAAGUAAGAGUUAUAGUUGUUGUGAGUUUCGUGUUUUGUUGUGUUACGUUACUUGUUACUUGGCGGUUUCUGAAAGGGAUAUAAUGUGCGGUAAUGUUUAGUAAGACUAUACUUUUGAUGAGUUGAAUUGAAAAGUUGUAGGUUGACUGACUUUUUGGAGUCUCUCGAUCUAUUCGCGAAAACAAUAAUGCGAUUAGAAAAGGGAAAUGGAAAGGAAAGAGUUUGAGUCAAAAUCGAAUAUGGAAAGAGAAGGAACGAUGCUUAUUGGUGGAGGAUGCGUUAGAAUAAUUUGUUGGGAAUGUUUAAACAAUUCCAUGUGUGCCAUUUUCUUCUGAUGAUAGUGUCGAUUGGCAGACACCAAAUGGGCACUUCAAAAAUAGACAUUAAUCUUUGAUUCUAAGAUAUUUAUUUGUUGCCUAGCUCGACUUAUUAUUAAAAACUACGUGCUUAACUAAAAUGCCUAAGCACGAACAAAGCUGGCAAUGUGUUUUUUAUCUAUGUAUUUUCUGAGCGAAUAUCCAACGAAUUUCUAAGGGCAGAUAUUCUAUAUAUUGAUAUAUGGCCCUUAGGAGAUAGUACUGGGACUUACUAUGCACAUGUGCAUCAACAUACUGGCUCCUUGAACGGUCGCGUUUAAAACAAAAGAGAAGAAAGACAUUCAUUGGAGAUUUACUAAGAUAUAGUGUUUGAUAUGAAGUAGUGAAUUAAUGAUUUAUCGUACUAUGCGUUCAUUCAUGUAUGAUAAUUUGUGUGUAUAAUAUGUAUCUGUCUUGUAUGAAUAAUUUAUAAGUUAAUGUGUGUUGCACUUAUAAGAUAAUGAAAUUAUAUAUAAUCAAGAUAUGUCUGCAUUUAGCUGUUAUCGGUAAGCAAAGGAUAAGGGCCCUUGAUGCUGCGUUUAUAGAUCUCAAUAGCCGUUUGAACCGAGGCUACCCGAACGAUGCCAGGAUGUGUAUCAAUGAUGCAACCUAUCGACCAGUAGUGCGUUGUCCUCCUUAAGGAGCAUGAGUGUGUCGAUCUUAAGAUCAUUUGUUCCCCCUCGAUGCCAUUUCCUCCUCGCCGUCAGCUCAUGAAAGCAGGACGAGACGAGAAAGAAAUUCUGUAACACAAGGAUAGAGCAAUGUUGGCGUUACAGAAAAAGAGGACAUUUUAAGAACUAGUAUCUGCAAUACUAAAAGAAGAAAAAGAAUUAUUUGAAGCUCAAAAGUGACACCGAGAAAACGAAAAUUCCUCACAGAUCCGUCAGCCUCACUUCAGGACAAUAGAUAUAGAGCAUUUUCAUUCGAUAAAAUCGAAUUUACGACGAUAAUAGGGGGGCUGAAAAUCGUAUAUGGCAAAAAUUAAUAUAGAUUCGUAUUGGGAACUUUAUUUAAGUCAGAAUGUACAUUUAGCGAACAUAGCAGAGAAUAUUAUAUUAGAUUCGAAUUUUAUUAAGAAGAAUAAUUGUAUAAUAGAUGUAAAAUUAAUGGGUGGGGAGGAAAAAAUACGUAUAGCAGGAAAACCAGUUAUUAUGAAGUAAAAAGAAGAAUUUAGAAAAAGGAAAAGAAUGGGAAGUACUUUAUUAUUUGAAAGGUUUGUUUUAAAGGAAUAUAGAAAAAAUUCGAGAGAAAGAGACGAAACAAAUAGAACAAAAUUCUUUAGAAAGGAUCAUUAAGAUAUUUUUAUCAAAUCUUCUUUUGAUAUAGGGAGACGUAAUGUUAGAUAGACACAGAUGAUUUUUUGCUAUUAAAUAAACACCUAAGAGGUUUCAAAUUCAUUAACAGUAGGAGAAACAGCACUUAAUUGCUGACAUGAAGGAAUAAGGAGUUUUAGAAAAAGCUACGGAGUCAAAUAGUUUGGUUUCGAAAAAGAAUAAAUCAACGAGCUGUUUUGGGGGUUAACAAGAAGUUGAACGGCAUUAUAAAGAAGCAUUCUUAUCUAUUUUUUUUUUUAUUAAAUAAAUUUGUUAUUAUUAGUAUAUGAUUAAAAGAAAUACAAUAUUAUUAAAAAAUUAGUUAUAAUAAAUUCUUUACAAUAAUAAUUGUAAUAUUACCAGUUUAUGAUUAUUAUUGGCGUGACACAGACAUUUUAAUGUAGAAAACAUGAAUUUUUAAUAGUUAAUAUUUUGUCACAAUUAACAAAAUGAUAUAUAUAUAUCAUCUCCUUUUUAUUAAAUUAUACCUUUUUAAGGAUAUUAUUUUUAUAAUACAUAUUUAUUUUAUUUAUUCUAUGGGAAACAUUUUAUGUUUAGAAAUAAUAUUUAUUUUUUUAAUAUUUAUUUUUUUUUAUAUUAGGAAACACAUUGUUAAAAAUAUGUUGUUUAUUUAUAUUAAAUACUAUUCAAAAGAAAUAAAAAAUUCAUUGAUUAUGAUACUUGAAACAUGGCACGGCGCGUAAUCAUCUUAUCUUGAAAACAUUUCAGCAACAGUAACUUGUUUCUUUCAUCUUUAUCUUUUUAAGAGAUAAGAAUUUGAUUAGUAAAUAUAACAGUACAGGUCCAUUUAAUACUCGUUUGCGUAUAAAAUUGUCAAUAAAGAGGACUCGUGUCGUCAAACAAAUAUUAGGUCUACUUACAAAGUAUUAUAUGUUAAAUGGUUAAUUGAAAAUUGGAUUUCAAUCGGUUAUCGAAAAGGAAGAUCGAUUUCUACAAACUUUCAUUAUUCUUUAUGUAUAAAAUAGUUAAUGAUCGGAUCGAUACUGAUAUUAUUGAUGAUAUCCAAGCAAUUCAAUAUCAAAGCACUCAAUGGGAAGAGUCGAUAUAUAUUAAAAUUGUAGGUAUUUGAUAUCAAUUUUCGAAACUGACAUACUUCAAUGAAUCGAUAUCAAGUUGAAAAGCGUUUAUAUCGGAUCAAUAUCCAUUUGAUGAUACCUAAUAAUAUUGAAUCAAUUUCCGUUUGAUGAUACCUAAUAAUAUUGAAUCAAUUUCCGUUUGAUGAUACCUAAUGAAAGUAUUGACACUCGUUUGAUACUUAUGUUUAAUAUUGUUUUUUAUUAAAUAAAUUUUUUAUUAAAUAAAUUUUUUAUUAAAUAAAUAAUAAUAUAAUUUAAUAAAAAGGAGAUGAUGUUUAAUAUUGACACAGAAACAAACGAAUAGCGAUUUUUUGGAUUAACGAACGAAAAUCUGAAAGAUGAAAGACUGAAAGACAAAUCGUCUUUAUAUUUUCAUAGAAGUACGGAACGGGUAUUAAUACUUCCACAGAUGUAUCGAUAGCCGUAUAAAUAUUCGUGAUACAGCAAAGAAAAUAAAAAUAUUAACAGUUUUUCUAUUAUUUCCUGAGAUAUACAAACUUUCUCUCGUUUGUACAUUUGCUCGACAAUGUCAAUACUCGAUAAUAUUCAACUACUCUAUUUUACUCUCUUGUACUCUUUAUUGUUUUCUACUCUCUGCUCUGAUCUCUUGUAUUCUCUGCUUUCUCUGCAUUGAUACCUAGUCUCUCAUAUUAGUUACCGCUUCUUUCUUUCGUUCCCUUAUUAUCGCUUUCUUGUAUCCAGAUAUAUCUUUUAGGACUUUUCAAACAAAGUCCUAGACAUCAUGUAAUCUCCUCACGUGCAUCUCUAUCGGUCAUAUACUCUCGCUUACAUACCGCUCAUGUCAUUUAUAUUACUAGUAUUACGUUUCUAUCUUAUAGAUACUAAUCUUAGCACUCUUUCGAUAUACACACACACGCGCGCAUACACGUGAAUAUUUUCAUAACAUAAUACUUACGACUUAGAAUUAGUAUUCGAUAGGAUAUCAUGAUUUGUAAACUGAUAUCGAUAGUAUUGAUUUGUUAUCGGUCUAAUUGCUAGUGAUAUUAAUCGAUGUAUUAAUGUUCAAAUUAUCCUUGGAUAUUAACUGAUAGAAACGAAUAGAUUAAUCGAACGAUUAUCACGAAUGGGAAUUUGAUAUUUCAACAGAAUUUAUAGUAAUGAGUAAGCUAUCUGGUUGAUGAUAAAAAGUUUCAUCUUGUGUUAUGAAGAAUUAAUUACGUAUAGUAGCAUACCGUAAAAUAUGUUGAAAGAGUAAGGGCGAACGAGUUAGUCUUGAACAAGCAAAAGUAAGUAGUGAGGUUGGAGCGAGGUAGGCAAUUAGCAAGCAUUAGAUGAAAGCCUCAAUGUACAUAUAUAUGAAAGAAAUGAAUUUAUGAAUUCGGAGGAACACAUAAGGAUACAAAAAAGGUUUGUAAUUUCGUUGGUGAAUUGCGGAAAUAUUUAAUUCAUAUUGUUUCCUAAUAUAUCAUAAAAAGUGUAGGUUUUUUUUUUAUUUAAAAAAGAAAAUUAAGCUUUAAAUGACUGCAAUUUUCCAUUAAAUAAAAAAUAAUAAAUUCGAUUGUUAUAUCUGGGAUUCGUGACAAAUAUUUCGUCAAAGAAAAGAAAAUUUUUUGUUAAGAUAAGAAAUCUUCUAUUGUUGAGAAAUGACUUUUGUUUGUUUUUCUCUGUUCCAUUACAAUCAGUUAAAUAUCAUCGGAUUAAAGGAAUAAAAAUUAUAUAAUAUUAAUAAUUUAU